CUUAUAAAUUGUAGAGUGAUAAAAUAAAAUUUCAUCUGAUACAUUCAAAGAGUGGAAAAUAUGGAUAAAAUUUUCAAGUUUGUUUAUGUCAUGAUAAUCCUUCUUUCCCUAGUUUUUGUUUCAACGCAUGCUAUAAAACUUACAUUUGUCCAUCCUUGUAAAACUGAUCGUGAUUGUCCACAAACUCCCAAGGGGCGCUUUUCACGUCCUAAAAAAGUGAAGUGUCGUAAUGGCAUUUGUAUGUAAAGCUAUAUGAUUGCCACACCCAAAAGAAUUAAAAAAAAAUCACACUACUAGAAUAUUCUACAAUUUCUUAUUUAGUUAUUGUCAUCAUCUAUCAAAUGAGUUUUCUUUUACCUUUUCUUAUUUCACAUACCUUGUUAGUUUUCUAUAAUGCAAGUGAAAUGACAUAGACCAUGAAAAAUAUUAUCUACAUUUUCUUCUUCUA